GANUCGCGGNCCUAGAAUGCAGUCGAACGGACAGUAGUUGAUACUGUUAGUGGCGAACGGUCGCGUAACACUUUAAGAAACCUGCCUCGAAGCUGGGGACAACGGCCCGAAAGGGCCGCUAAUACCGAAUGUGGACGACCCCUCGCAUGUGGGGUCGUUUAAAGCCUUGUGCACUUCGAGAUGGUCUUGCGGCCUAUCAGGUAGAUGGUGGGGUAACGGCCUACCAUGCCGACGACGGGUAGCUGGUCUGAGAGGACGAUCAGCCGGAUUGGGACUGAGAUACGGCCCAGACUCCUACGGGGGGCAGCAAUUAGGAAUCUUGCGCAAUGGGCGAAAGCCUGACGCAGCGACGCCGCGUGAGGGAUGACGGCCUUCGGGUUGUAAACCUCUUUUGCCGGGGAAGAAGAACGUGACGGUACCCGGUGAAUAAGCCCCGGCUAACUACGUGCCAGCAGCCGCGGUAAUACGUAGGGGGCGAGCGUUGUCCGAAGUUACUGGGCGUAAAGCGCGCGUAGGCGGCUUCUUAAGUCUAGGGUGAAAGGUUCAGCGCUCAACGCGAACAGUGCCUUGGAUACUGGGAGGCUUGAAUGUGGCAGANGAUAGUGGAAUGGCUGGUGUAGCGGUGAAAUGCGUANAUAUCAGUCGGAACACCCAUGGCGAAAGCAGCUAUCUGGGCUAACAUUGACGCUGANGU
rnacentral:rRNA from 1 species